rnacentral:lncRNA from 1 species
CCCUUUUCAUUAUCUUCCUAGGAAAACAGUUACCCAUAGGAGCCCAGAACCUUGCCUAGAGUCACCCUGCCAGCAAGUGGCAGAGCUGCGAUUUGAAUCUGGGGCUUAUGCAUCUGAUUCUGCUGAGGAUGUCAAAUUACCAGGCUUUGGUCUAAGCAGAAGUCAGGGGACAGCAGUGAAAAGAGCACGGUUCCACACCUUGAUGCCGUCUCUCACUUUCCCUCUGUGUGACCUUGGAUAGAAAGUUUCGCUUUGGAGUGCAGUGAUGCAGUCACGGCUGACUGCAGCCAUAACCUCAUGGGCUCAAGUGAUCCUCCCACCUCAGCCUCCCAAGUAGCUGGGACCACAGGUAUGCACCACCAUUCCCAGCUAAUUUCUUCUUAUUUUUUGUAGACACAGGGUAUCCCUAUGUUACCUAGG